rnacentral:snoRNA from 1 species
CUGCAUGUUAAAAAAAAAAAUAAUUCUGCUCCUCAUUCCCGGAGGAGCACGAAUCACUACACAACAUGCUAGAGAAAACAAGGAGUUUUCAGGGCUGCCAGUCUUGCAGUGAAGGCUGAGUGGUAGUAUAGGUCUCCAACAUCC